UUUCCUAGAUUUCUUUCCAUAUUGCACCUUGUUGAGUUAAUUUUUCACUUGAUAAAUUAAUAUAGUACUUGUCUCGUUAUACCUAUAUAUGUAUAUAUAGACAUGCGUUGAUGAGGUUGUAGGUGGGAAAAUUACUUUCAUCACUUUAUUUGUCCAUCAAAAGGAAAGAGAAUUAUCUACUUAAGUCAUUCAAGUUCUAAUUUGAGGUAAGUAAUGACUAUUUUUUUUUGCAUGACUUUAUAAUCUUAGAGUUUUCUAGUUUAGUGUGUUUUUGGUGAGCUAUUUGACGAUUUUUUGGGAUUAUAUAAUGUGUUUAUUUUGUAUUUAUGGAUAUAUUAAAGUCAUCCUGGUGUGAUUAUUGAACUUUAUAUGUGUCAUAUAUGUUAUUGAAACUAUAUCAUUCACUAUGCAACAAUAACAUAUCUAUAAGAUUAGAAAUAUUUAACUACUUAGUUAUUAAGAAUCUGGCACGCAAUUUAGAAUAAAUGUAUGUCAUAUGCUCAACUUAAGGAAUGUGGUGAUAGGUUGAGAAUUUUACUUAGUAAGAGCCUUAGUCAUAAAUAAAUCUGACGGAGGAUAAUUUUUGUACUAGGAUUAGUAUAGAGUAGGUUUGGUAUUAAUUUCGGCUAUUAAAUUUAGUAUGGAGAAAUAGUUUUAUAUUAGAUAGGAAGACAAUUUGUACAUGUGAUAUCCUCUUGGAAGGUUGCUUCGUGGAGUUUGUGGAAUACAUAGGUAUAAAAUGGAGAGUUCAUUCGUAUCUAUGUGUUAUAUGUUUGGUUCUUAACUUGUACAUUCAUUUUCACGCAUUUACAUACCUUUAAAUAAUAUGGUGGUCUUGUCGGCUUGCAUAACAAUUUACCAUUUUUGUAUGGGUUUAAGGUUAGCUGAAAUUGAUGUUGUAAUAUAAUUUUUGUAUUGAUCGCCAUUUGCAUGGUGUAUAUGCAUUGUAUUUCAUGCCCUUAAUUGAGGCUAGAAAUUAGAGUAUACGCUUGCACCACAUGCAUUGCAUUUCUAAGAUUGUGUAACAUAAUAAGAUUCUGGGUUGGUGUUGUUUGUUCCGUGGGGGACCUAUGAAGAUUUAGUAAAUUGUCAAUGCUAUUGAUAUGUAAGAGUCAGAAACAAAUAAAAUUAGAAUUAUAUUUAGCAGACGAUAGAAUUAUAAAACCUAUAGA
rnacentral:lncRNA from 1 species